GAUGAACGCUGGCGGCGUGCCUAAUACAUGCAAGUCGAGCGAACAGACGAGGAGCUUGCUCCUCUGACGUUAGCGGCGGACGGGUGAGUAACACGUGGAUAACCUACCUAUAAGACUGGGAUAACUUCGGGAAACCGGAGCUAAUACAGGAUAAUAUAUUGAACCGCAUGGUUCAAUAGUGAAAGAGGGUUUUGCUGUAACUUAUAGAUGGAUCCGCGCCGCAUUAGCUAGUUGGUAAGGUAACGGCUUACCAAGGCAACGAUGCGUAGCCGACCUGAGAGGUUGAUCGGCCACACUGGAACUGAGACACGGUCCAGACUCCUACGGGAGGCAGCAGUAGGGAAUCUUCCGCAAUGGGCGAAAGCCUGACGGAGCAACGCCGCGUGAGUGAUGAAGGUCUUCGGAUCGUAAAACUCUGUUAUUAGGGAAGAACAAAUGUGUAAGUAACUAUGCACGUCUUGACGGUACCUAAUCAGAAAGCCACGGCUAACUACGUG
rnacentral:rRNA from 1 species